UCACAGUGAUGAAUGGUCCAAAACAUUCGCGGUUUCCACCAGAACUCCAGAUGUUGGCAGUUUCCUUCCUUGGAUGUCUGAGUGA
ensembl:snoRNA SNORD14 Small nucleolar RNA SNORD14